UACGUAGGCAGCGAGCGUUGUUCGGAAUUACUGGGCGUAAAGAGUGUGUAGGCGGUGCUCUAAGUUCGGUGUGAAAUCUCCUGGCUCAACUGGGAGGGUGCGCCGGAAACUGGAGUGCUUGAGCGUGGGAGAGGAAAGCGGAAUUCCUGGUGUAGCGGUGAAAUUCGUAGAUAUUCGGAAGAACACCAGUGGCGAAGGCGGCUCACUGGACUGGUAUUGACGCUGAGGUGCGAAAGCGUGGGGAGCAAACAGG
rnacentral:rRNA from 1 species